CCUACGGGCGGCAGCAGUGAGGAAUAUUGGUCAAUGGACGAGAGUCUGAACCAGCCAAGUAGCGUGAAGGAUGACUGCCCUAUGGGUUGUAAACUUCUUUUAUAUGGGAAUAAAACGUUCCACGUGUGGGGUUUUGUAUGUACCACAUGAAUAAGGAUCGGCUAACUCCGUGCCAGCAGCCGCGGUAAUACGGAGGAUCCGAGCGUUAUCCGGAUUUAUUGGGUUUAAAGGGAGCGUAGAUGGGAUGUUAAGUCAGUUGUGAAAGUUUGCGGCUCAACCGUGAAAUUGCAAUUGAUACUGGCAGUCUUGAGUACAGGUGAGGUAUGCGGAAUUCGUGGUGUAGCGGUGAAAUGCUUAGAUAUCACGAAGAACUCCGAUUGCGAAGGCAGCUUACGAAACUGCCACUGACAUUGAUGCUCGAAAGUGUGGGUAUCGAACAGGAUUAGAUACCCCGGUAGUC
rnacentral:rRNA from 1 species